rnacentral:rRNA from 1 species
GACGAACGCUGGCGGCGUGCUUAACACAUGCAAGUCCAACGGAAAGGCCCUUCGGGGUACUCGAGUGGCGAACGGGUGAGUAACACGUGGGUGAUCUGCCCUGCACUUUGGGAUAAGCCUGGGAAACUGGGUCUAAUACCGAAUAGGACCACGCGCUUCAUGGUGUGUGGUGGAAAGCUUUUGCGGUGUGGGAUGGGCCCGCGGCCUAUCAGCUUGUUGGUGGGGUAAUGGCCUACCAAGGCGACGACGGGUAGCCGGCCUGAGAGGGUGACCGGCCACACUGGGACUGAGAUACGGCCCAGACUCCUACGGGAGGCAGCAGUGGGGAAUAUUGCACAAUGGGCGCAAGCCUGAUGCAGCGACGCCGCGUGAGGGAUGACGGCCUUCGGGUUGUAAACCUCUUUCAAUAGGGACGAAGCGCAAGUGACGGUACCUAUAGAAGAAGCACCGGCCAACUACGUG